rnacentral:rRNA from 1 species
UACGUAGGGUGCGAGCGUUAAUCGGAAUUACUGGGCGUAAAGCGUGCGCAGGCGGUUCGCCAAGUCAGGUGUGAAAUCCCCGGGCUUAACCUGGGAACUGCGCUUGUAACUGGCAAGCUUGAGUGUGGCAGAGGGGGGUGGAAUUCCACGUGUAGCAGUGAAAUGCGUAGAGAUGUGGAGGAACACCGAUGGCGAAGGCAGCCCCCUGGGCUAACACUGACGCUCAUGCACGAAAGCGUGGGGAGCAAACAGG